UGCGAUGCAAAUGCGCCUAGCAAAUUCGCCUAAUGAGCCUAAGCCGUGUGGAAACCAUAAUCGGAGUAAACAUCGAAUUUACUCCGAGAGAUUGCGAGAUAUUUUCAAGUUGCAGGAACAAAAUAUACCAGUGACAAACAGGAAUUUGUGGCACUGUAGAGGAUAUGACGCGCUCGAAGAAAUAGGAUACUUUUGAUAAACAAUCUAAUAAAAGACGUAGUGUAUAUAAUUUCAAAUUACAGAAAGAGGAAUUAUUUUUAGAGAGCAAACAUUAGAGACCUGAUCCUGGCAGAAAACAUGAAAUACUUUUAACCAACUGAAAAUAUGUUUAUAAAGAUCCCGCGUCUCCGGAAUGCACAUUCGUCGAUCGAAAGGCCAACGUCGCAGUUCUACGUUUAUUUGAGAAUUUUGUUUUCGAAAGUCACUCUUUCUCUCGGAGAGCAAACACCAGGCUGGAUCCUGCGGCGGAGGAUCUCAGAAUGCUUUCCCCGCUACAAAAGCAAAACAGAAAGUGCGCGAGCGCGGUUGGUGAACACUGAACACGCGUGACAGGCAGGAAAUCAUGGCACGCGUGAAAACGUUGCCCCGAGUGCAACAAUAGGGUCCCUGGGCAAACAAGCAGAAUUCGAUGUAUCGUGGCGCCGACAACACGACGCGACGCUUCGAAAUAUGCUCGGUUCUUUCAGAACACAUUCCUGACCCUCGCUUGCUCCGAAACUCAAUGGUCUCUGCUCCACCCUCUGGGCUAGCUCGAGAUUGCUGUAGCUGCGUUUCCAACCCCUCCGGCCGGCCGGCCGGCUCGGCCAGCAUCGCGUAAUCGUCCGUACGAUGACACGCCAGAAACCCACCCCUAUACAUUUAUUCCAGCGCACCAAACUCGGCACUCGGGGUUGCCUUUUCCGUGGCGGAAGGAUCGGGAAGGAGACGCGCGGCGGAGCGGAACGCACGCGUGUGCGUGUGCGUGUACGCGCGAACGCACACGAGGUAUUCGGUAUAGCGUACUUUUCCAAUGGGGGAUUGUAACCGGCAGAAUUUCGGCGUGAUUCAAUUCACGAUACUGUGGAUAUACAUGGUCU